rnacentral:lncRNA from 1 species
CUGCAUGUGUCCUGACACCUGGAGCUGACUCACUGUAUUUUCUCCUGUGGUACCAGGUAACAGUUGUAGCAAAGAAACUCAUAGAGCAACUAUGGGGCUGCAUGGAGCAAGGAGCUGCUGACUGCUGAACUCCUUAGAAUAUGAACAGACAGCCUCGGGGAUUUGAGCUUUCAGAAGCCUUGCUGAUGAUGUCUUGACUGAAAAGACCUUGGUUGGCUUUUGGGCCCUGAGCUGGCUUGGAUACCCAUCAGUGGCAGGCUGUGAAAGUAAUCCAAUGGAUUCCCUGAACAUCUCCUCAAAUAUUGUCUGGCAAAGUGACUCACAGCUGGAAUGAACUCUGUGAAAAGACAGAGUGAAAUUGUGAUCUUCAACCA